rnacentral:rRNA from 1 species
AUUGAACGCUGGCGGCAGGCCUAACACAUGCAGUCAACGAGCAGCGGCGGAUGGUUGAGUAACGCGUUGGCAACCUGACCUUAAGUCUGGGAUACCAUUUGGAAACAGGUGCUAAUACCGGAACAUAAAGGACGAGCUUGCGAUGCAUUCGAGAGUUGGUAAGGUAACGGCUUACCAGGGCGAUGAUGCAUAGCCGAGUUGAGAGUAUGAUCAGCCACAUUGGGACUGAGACACGGCCCAAACUCCUACGGGAGGCAGCAGUAGGGAAUCUUCCACAAUGGACGAAAGUCUGAUGGAGCAACGCCGCGGGAGUGAAGAAGGUUUUCGGAUCGUAAAGCUCUGUUGUUGGUGAGGCGGUAAUCGACCAGAAAGUCACGGCUAACUACGUGCCAGCAGCCGCGGUAAUAC